rnacentral:lncRNA from 12 species
UUUGCUGGUUUAUGAUAACAAGGCUCUGCAUAGAAUAUGCAAAAACAACGUAGGAAAUGAAUGCUCGGACAUGCCAGCUGGGAAAAUCUCAUAGACAUCAUCAGUGUGGAUGAGAACAAAGCAUGGGACUCAGGUGAUCUGUAGGAAUACUGGCAUUUAUGCAUUGUUGCUAAGUCCUUGCUUGCUAUCCAUUGUGACGCAAAUCUCC